GACGAACGCUGGCGGCGUGCUUAACACAUGCAAGUCGAACGGUGAAAGCGGAGCUUGCUCCGCUGGAUCAGUGGCGAACGGGUGAGUAACACGUGGGCAACCUGCCCCUCACUUCGGGAUAACUCCGGGAAACCGGGGCUAAUACCGGAUAUGACCUCCUUGGGCAUCCUUGGAGGUGGAAAGUUUUUCGGUGAGGGAUGGGCCCGCGGCCUAUCAGCUUGUUGGUGAGGUAGUGGCUCACCAAGGCGACGACGGGUAGCCGGCCUGAGAGGGCGACCGGCCACACUGGGACUGAGACACGGCCCAGACUCCUACGGGAGGCAGCAGUGGGGAAUACUGCGCAAUGGGCGAAAGCCUGACGCAGCAACGCCGCGUGCGGGAUGACGGCCUUCGGGUUGUAAACCGCUUUCAGCAGGGAAGAAGCCGCAAGGUGACGGUACCUGCAGAAGAAGCACCGGCUAACUACGUGCCAGCCGCCGCAGUAAGAC
rnacentral:rRNA from 1 species